rnacentral:rRNA from 1 species
GACGAACGCUGGCGGCGUGCCUAAUACAUGCAAGUCGAGCGAACAGACGAGGAGCUUGCUCCCCUGACGUUAGCGGGGGACGGGUGAGUAACACGUGGACAACCUACCUAUAAGACUGGGAUAACCUCGGGAAACCGGAGCUAAUACCGGAUAAUAUAUCGAACCGCAUUGUUCAAUAGUGAAAGACGGUUUUGCUGUCACUUAUAGAUGGAUCAGCGCCGCAUUAGCUAGUUGGUAAGGUAACGGCUUACCAAGGCAACGAUGCGUAGCCGACCUGAGAGGGUGAUCCGCCACACGGGAACUGAGAAACGGUCCAGACUCCUACGGGAGGCAGCAGUAGGGAAUCUUCCGCAAUGGGCGAAAGCCUGACGGAGCAACGCCGCGUGAGUGAUGAAGGUCUUCGGAUCGUAAAACUCUGUUAUUAGGGAAGAACAAAUGUGUAAGUAACUAUGCACGUCUUGACGGUACCUAAUCAGAAAGCCACGGCUAACUACGUG